rnacentral:rRNA from 1 species
UGCCAGCCGCCGCGGUAACACGGAGGGAGCGAGCGUUAAUCGGAAUUACUGGGCGUAAAACGCGCGUAGGCGGCUUUGUAAGUCGGAUGUGAAAGCCCGGGGCUCAACCCCGGAAGUGCAUUGGAAACUGGCGAACUUGAGUACGGGAGAGGAAAGUGGAAUUCCGAGUGUAGGGGUGAAAUCCGUAGAUAUUCGGAGGAACACCAGUGGCGAAGGCGGCUUUCUGGACCGAUACUGACGCUGAGACGCGAAAGCGUGGGGAGCAAACAGGAUUAGAUA